CUGGGAGAGGAAGAGAAUAGUGUGGUUGUCAGUGUAAUAAAUGCCUCUUCUUUAUAUCUAAUAGGACGAGCAUGAGCGGUCGAUGAGGUCCUGAAGCUUUUCUGGAGGUCGACGUCACCUCCAAUGGCGAUGAGGAGCCCGUCAGGGGACACAUGGCUGGAGGAGAGAUACUCGACGGCCAGGGGACCGAGGACCGCCAUGGCCCAGUCUUCGUCUGACCAAACCGACGAACCCACUCCCACUCCCACUCCCGUCCCCAUCUUCGUCUUCAUCGAUCUCCGUAAUCCCCAACUCCACAGUAAAUCUUAGCCAAGAAUUUUGCUCGGAAUAAAUUUUAGAACAAUUCAAAGAUCUCCCAAGAUUUCCUCUCUCAUUUCUCAUAUCUCAAUCUCGGCAGACGUUGGUCUUCCCUCCAGCCACCUGCUCCACUAGCUUUACAAUUUUUUGGAUUAGACCGAGUUAUAUAUGGAUCCGACCCGAAUGACCUGUUGGAUCUGCUGAGGAUCCGACCUAAU
rnacentral:lncRNA from 1 species